rnacentral:rRNA from 1 species
UACGGAGGGGGCUAGCGUUGUUCGGAAUUACUGGGCGUAAAGCGCACGUAGGCGGCUUUGUAAGUUAGAGGUGAAAGCCCAGGGCUUAACCCUGGAAUUGCCUUUAAGACUGCAUCGCUAGAAUUGUGGAGAGGUAAGUGGAAUUCCGAGUGUAGAGGUGAAAUUCGUAGAUAUUCGGAAGAACACCAGUGGCGAAGGCGACUUACUGGACACAUAUUGACGCUGAGGUGGCGAAAGCGUGGGGAGCAAACAGG